GAUGAACGCUAGCGGGAGGCUUAACACAUGCAAGUCGAGCGGGAUCCCCUUCGGGGGUGAGAGCGGCGCACGGGUGCGUAACGCGUAUGCAACCUGCCUUAUACAGGGGGAUAGCCCAUGGAAACGUGGAUUAAUAUCCCAUAGGAUUAAAGUUUCGCAUGAAACUAUGAUUAAAACUGAGGUGGUAUAAGAUGGGCAUGCGUCUGAUUAGGUAGUUGGUGGGGUAACGGCCCACCAAGCCGACGAUCAGUAGGGGUUCUGAGAGGAUUACCCCCCACACUGGUACUGAGACACGGAUCAGACUCCCACGGGAGGCAGCAGUGAGGAAUAUUGGUCAAUGGGCGAGAGCCUGAACCAGCCAUCCCGCGUGCAGGAUGACGGCCCUAUGGGUUGUAAACUGCUUUUCUGCGCCAAGAAACCUGUCAACGAGUUGACAGCUGACGGUAGCGCAGGAAUAGGCACCGGCUAACUCCGUGCCAGCAGCCGCGGUAAAGUAUCG
rnacentral:rRNA from 1 species